rnacentral:rRNA from 1 species
GAGAAACCGCGAAUGGCUCAUUAAAUCAGUUAUGGUUCAUUGGAUCGUACCACGUUACUUGGAUAACCGUGGCAAUUCUAGAGCUAAUACAUGCAGCAGAGCCCCGACGCGUCUCUCGGGGCGCGGAUGACGGGCGCAGUUAUUAGACCGAGACCGGCACUAAACCGGUGGUGACUCUGGAUAACCUUUGGCCGAUCGCAAACGGGCUCGACCCGGCGACGUAUCUUUCAAGUGUCUGCCUUAUCAACCGUCGACGGCGGGCCACGCGCCCGCCAUGGUCGUAACGGGUAACGGGGAAUCAGGGUUCGAUUCCGGAGAGGGAGCCCGAGAAACGGCUACCACAUCCAAGGAAGGCAGCAGGCACGCAAAUUACCCACUCCCGGCACGGGGAGGUAGUGACGACAAAUAACGAUACGGGUCUCCUCGAGAUUCCGUAAUCGGAAUGAGUGCGAUCUCAUCCAGACCCUCGCACGAGGAUCGAUCGGAGAGCAAGCCUGGUGCCAGCAGUCGCGGAAACACCAGCUCCGAUAGCGUAUAUUAAAAUUGCUGCGGUUAAAAAGCUCGUAGUUGGAUCCGAGUCCCGGACGUGCGGCCCCGCCGAGAGGCGGGAUACCGUUUCGCUCCGGACUGACCUGCCGGCGUCCCGGGAUGAUCUUCGCCGGUCGUCCCGGGCCACAGCCGGCUCGUUUACCUUGAAAAAAUUAAAGUGCUCAAGGCAGGCUC